rnacentral:rRNA from 1 species
AUUGACCUCGGAUCAGGUAGGGAUACCCGCUGAACUUAAGCAUAUCAAUAAGCGGAGGAAAAGAAACCAACAGGGAUUGCCUCAGUAACGGCGAGUGAAGCGGCAACAGCUCAAAUUUGAAAUCUGGCCCCUUCGGGGUCCGAGUUGUAAUUUGUAGAGAGUGUUUCGGGGGGGACCGCGGUCUAAGUCCAUUGGAACAUGGUGUCAUAGAGGGUGAGAAUCCCGUAUGUGACCGCGGAUCGAACCCAUGUGAAGCCUCUUCGACGAGUCGAGUUGUUUGGGAAUGCAGCUCAAAAUGGGUGGUAAAUUUCAUCUAAAGCUAAAUACUGGCUGGAGACCGAUAGCGCACAAGUAGAGUGAUCGAAAGAUGAAAAGCACUUUGGAAAGAGAGUUAAACAGCACGUGAAAUUGUUGAAA